rnacentral:rRNA from 1 species
GAUGAACGCUGGCGGUCUGCUUAACACAUGCAAGUCGAACGGGAUCCUUCGGGAUUUAGUGGCGGACGGGUGAGUAACGCGUGAGAAUCUGCCCUUAGGUUGGGGACAACAGUUGGAAACGACUGCUAAUACCCAAUGUGCCGAGAGGUGAAAGGUUAACUGCCUGGGGAUGAGCUCGCGUCUGAUUAGCUAGUUGGAGUGGUAACGGCACACCAAGGCGACGAUCAGUAGCUGGUCUGAGAGGAUGAUCAGCCACACUGGGACUGAGACACGGCCCAGACUCCUACGGGAGGCAGCAGUGGGGAAUUUUCCGCAAUGGGCGAAAGCCUGACGGAGCAAGACCGCGUGAGGGAGGAAGGCCUAUUGGUUGUAAACCUCUUUUGAUAGGGAAGAACACAAUGACGGUACCUAUCGAAUCAGCAUCGGCUAACUCCGUGCCAGCAGCCGCGGUAAUACGGAGGAUGCAAGCGUUAUCCGGAUUUAUUGGGCGUAAAGCGUCCGUAGGUGGCAAACCAAGUCAGUUGUUAAAGCGUAGAGCUUAACUCUAUAAGGGCAAUUGAAACUGGUUAGCUAGAGUGCGAUAGGGGCAAGGGGAAUUCCCAGUGUAGCGGUGAAAUGCGUAGAUAUUGGGAAGAACAUCGGUGGCGAAGGCGCCUUGCUGGGUCUGCACUGACACUGAGGGACGAAAGCUAGGGGAGCGAAAGGGAUUAGAUACCCCUGUAGUCC